GACGAACGCUGGCGGCGUGCUUAACACAUGCAAGUCGAACGGAAAGGCCCUGCUUUUGUGGGGUGCUCGAGUGGCGAACGGGUGAGUAACACGUGAGUAACCUGCCCUUGACUUUGGGAUAACUUCAGGAAACUGGGGCUAAUACCGGAUAGGAGCUCCUGCUGCAUGGUGGGGGUUGGAAAGUUUCGGCGGUUGGGGAUGGACUCGCGGCUUAUCAGCUUGUUGGUGGGGUAGUGGCUUACCAAGGCUUUGACGGGUAGCCGGCCUGAGAGGGUGACCGGCCACAUUGGGACUGAGAUACGGCCCAGACUCCUACGGGAGGCAGCGGUGGGGAAUAUUACACAAUGGGCGGAAGCCUGAUGCAGCAACGCCGCGUGCGGGAUGACGGCCUUCGGGUUGUAAACCGCUUUCGCCUGUGACGAAGCGUGAGUGGCGGUAAUGGGUAAAGAAGCACCGGCUAACUACGUG
rnacentral:rRNA from 1 species